UAGGAGCUAGACUGUGUUUAUGGUUAGAC
rnacentral:piRNA from 1 species